rnacentral:rRNA from 1 species
AUUCCAGCUCCAAUAGCGUAUAUUAAAGUUGUUGCAGUUAAAAAGCUCGUAGUUGGAUUUCUGGGAGGGUGCCAAUGUCCGUCGUCGUACGUGUUGCAGCGGCGCCCUUCCAUCCUUCUGUUAACGACUUUGGGCAUUCACUUGCCGGAGUCGGGCUCAGAUAUUUUACCUUGAGAAAAUUAGAGUGUUUCAGGCAGGCUAGGCCGGAAUACAUUAGCAUGGAAUAAUGGAAUAGGACUACGGUCUCUUUGUUGGUUUGAGGGACUGCAGUAAUGAUUAAUAGGGAUAGUUGGGGGUAUUCAUAUUUAAUUGUCAGAGGUGAAAUUCUUGGAUUUAUGAAAGAUGAACUCAUGCGAAAGCAUUUACCAAGGAUGUUUUCAUCG